GAAAGAAAUCAUAAGGAGGAAAUGGACCGGACUAGUACAAGUAUGAUUUGCUUAUGCCGCCAAGUGUGAAGUUGCACUUGAGAAUAAAUGAUCUCCUCACCUGCUAACACCACACAAGAGCUGAAGAAGGAAAACAAAGAAGGAGAAUCAGAGAAGACUAUCGGGAGGAAUUCAGAACAUCUUCACCUGGAUUUUCAUCGGUAUGUAGAAAUGUACAUGGUCAGAGCUGAAGGGAUAAUCUAACUUUUGACUUUCUCCUAUAUUUUGCAGCUUAUUGAAGGGCACAACUGUCCAUCCCAAGUCUUCCAAGCCCAAAUCCUGGGGUGACUUUUAACUCCUUUUUAAAAUUUUUUAAAAAAGUUUAUUUAUUUUUGAGAAAGGGAGAGAGAGAAUGCAUGAGUGAGGGAGGGGGGAGAGAGAGAGAGAAGGAGGGAGAGAAUCCCAAGCAGGCUCCAUACUGUCAGCAACAGGAGCCCUCUGUGGGCUUAGACCCACGAAUGUGAGAUUGUGAUCUGAGCCAAAAUCAAGAGCCAGACGCUUAACCCGCUAAGCCACCCAGGUGCCCCUUGACUCUUUUCUUAAAAAAAAAAAAAAAAAAUCAUAUUUAAUGAGUCAGCAAAUGCUAACGAUCUUCCCUCCACAAGUUCCUGACAUGUGCUCACGUUUCCCAAAUCUUCCACACUUUCAUCUUACCCUGUUUCAGGUACUCGUCAUCUCUUUCCUGGAACGCUGUGCCCACCUCCCGACUGGCUUUCCUGUUUCCAGUCUUUCCUCCCUCGUAUCUAUUCUCCAUCACCGGUAUGAGUCAUUGAUCUACAACAACAUCUAUCUGACUGUGUCACCACUGUCAGCAGUUCCCAAUGACAUGACUGUGGUAUUCCUCAAACUCAGCGAACCUCAAAGAUGGACCCCUGAGGUUGCUAGAAACAGGCUUCCUGGUUGGAUGAAGACCAUUUUUAAGGCAAGUACAUGUGCAUGGCUACACUCCUCUAUUAGGACCUACACCAUAGUUAAUACAGUGAGGACACUCUUUCACCCAAAUGGUCAUAUAACCCUUGGGGACAUUAAACAGUGUGGAAAGGGUCCAGGGAACACUACAAAUGGCACCAGAUUAGAACCCUAG
ensembl:lncRNA